GACGAACGCUGGCGGCGUGCUUAACACAUGCAAGUCGAACGGAAAGGCCCUGCUUUUGUUGGGUGCUCGAGUGGCGAACGGGUGAGUAACACGUGAGUAACCUGCCCUUGACUUUGGGAUAACUUCAGGAAACUGGGGCUAAUACCGGAUAGGAGCUCCUGCUGCAUGGUGGGGGUUGGAAAGUUUCGGCGGUUGGGGAUGGACUCGCGGCUUAUCAGCUUGUUGGUGGGGUAGUGGCUUACCAAGGCUUUGACGGGUAGCCGGCCUGAGAGGGUGACCGGCCAAAUUGGGACUGAGAUACGGCCCAGACUCCUACGGGAGGCAGCAGUGGGGAAUAUUGCACAAUGGGCGGAAGCCUGAUGCAGCAACGCCGCGUGCGGGAUGACGGCCUUCGGGUUGUAAACCGCUUUCGCCUGUGACGAAGCGUGAGUGACGGUAAUGGGUAAAGAAGCACCGGCUAACUACGUG
rnacentral:rRNA from 1 species